rnacentral:rRNA from 1 species
ACGGCCCUACGGGGGGCAGCAGUAGGGAAUCUUCCACAAUGGACGAAAGUCUGAUGGAGCAACGCCGCGUGAGUGAAGAAGGGUUUCGGCUCGUAAAGCUCUGUUGGUAGUGAAGAAAGAUAGAGGUAGUAACUGGCCUUUAUUUGACGGUAAUUACUUAGAAAGUCACGGCUAACUACGUGCCAGCAACCGCGGUAAUACGUAGGUGGCAAGCGUUUUCCGGAUUUAUUGGGCGUAAAGCGAGUGCCGGCGGUUCAAUAAGUCUGAUGUGUAAACCUUCUGGGCCAACGGAGAAAUUC